AGGCUGGAGUUUGAUAUAUAGUCAAAGGAUAUGCAAAUAGGGCCCUAUCUGUGCUGAUUAAACCAGCCCAGCCCCUACCCUGUAGCUGGGAGAGAAACCGCAGCCCCGGAGUCCCAGGUGUUCCCAUUCUGUGAUCAGGACAGAACACAGACAUCUCAUUAUGGAGUUUGUGCUUGGCUGGAUUUUCCUUGUUGCUGUUCUAAAAGGUGUCCAGUGUGAGGUGCAGCUGGUGGAGUCUGGGGGAGGCCUGGCGAAGCCUGGGGGCUCCCUCAGACUCUCCUGUGCAGCUUCAGGAUUCAACUUUGGAAGCUACUACAUGCACUGGGUCCGCCAGCCUCCAGAGAAGGGGCUGGAGUGGAUUGCAGCAAUUGGUAGUAGUGGAAACACAUACUACACAGAUUCCGUGAAGGGCCGAUUCACCAUCUCCAGGGACAACGCCAAGACAACAGUGGAUCUGCAGAUGAACAGCCUGAGGCUCGAGGAUACGGCCACGUAUUUCUGUGCGAAGGACACAGUGACGGGAAAUCACUGUGAGUCCAGACAAAAACCUCCCUGUAGAAGACUAUCAAUGUCCCAAUGUGAGGUGCACCUGGUGGAGUCUGGGGGUCCCUGA